CUUUAUAGUUUAUAGCUAAAUAAAAUCAUUUAUUACAUGGAAAGGUGAGAAAUAUGACUAAAAUUAUGAAAUUUGUUUAUGUCACAAUUAACAUUCUUUCUCUAUUUCUUGUUGCUACAAACGUUGAAUCGUGGUUUCCUAGUAGACGAUGUUUUAGAGAUUAUGAAUGUCAUAAAAAUAAGUGUCGAGAACCUAAGAUAGCAAAGUGUGUCGGUGGUUGGUGUAAUUGUGUAGCAGCAAAGAAAUUUAUACCUUCUUAAUUCUGUAUUUAUUACCAUAUCCAAGAAAUUAACUAAUAUCAGUACAACGAUUUUUCUGUCACUUAGUUUUUAUGUUUGUGUUUGCGCCUUAUGGUGUAAUUUUUAUUUCAGUUCUACGUUUAAGAUUAUGGCUAUGAAAUAAAAUAACGUCAAUUCUUAUUUA